AUUGAACGCUGGCGGCAUGCCUUACACAUGCAAGUCGAACGGCAGCACGGGAGCAAUCCUGGUGGCGAGUGGCGAACGGGUGAGUAAUAUAUCGGAACGUGCCCAGUCGUGGGGGAUAACGCAGCGAAAGUUGUGCUAAUACCGCAUACGAUCUAUGGAUGAAAGCGGGGGAUCGCAAGACCUCGCGCGAUUGGAGCGGCCGAUAUCAGAUUAGGUUGUUGGUGAGGUAAAAGCUCACCAAGCCUGCGAUCUGUAGCUGGUCUGAGAGGACGACCAGCCACACUGGAACUGAGACACGGUCCAGACUCCUACGGGAGGCAGCAGUGGGGAAUUUUGGACAAUGGACGAAAGUCUGAUCCAGCAAUGCCGCGUGCAGGACGAAGGCCUUCGGGUUGUAAACUGCUUUUGUACUAGAACGAAAAAGUACUUAAUAACACUAGAGGCUCAUGACGGUACUGUAAGAAUAAGCACCGGCUAACUACG
rnacentral:rRNA from 1 species